rnacentral:lncRNA from 1 species
CGGCUUGGAAAUAUGUCAAACUAAAUCCGAAAGAUAGAAAUUGUGUGAUUUGCAUGCUCAGUGGAAAUACUUAUAUGGGUGGUAUUUUUCGACAAAAAAAAACACUUCGCCGGAAUUUCUGAGAAUGUAAGAGCGUGCCCACAAGCUAUUGAUGAAAUAAAUAAGGAGAUUAGAGAAUACAUGGAUAGAUUGAAAAAAAAUAAAGAGAAGAAAAAAAUGAAAAGAAAAGAAUUACUUUAUGAUAUGGAGUUAUUUGAUGAUGAUGAUGAUGAUUAUGAUGAUGAUGAUGAUAUAUCUGAAGUUGCAAUGAGGCAAAGGGGUACUCGAACUCCAAUAUCAAGAGAGAGGGUUAUAAAUAUUGGUGGUAGUGUUAAAAAUAGAACACCUCUCUCUAGGGGGCUAAUGGAUGUUUUUUUCGCCCCUAGCCCCGAAAUUGUGGUUUAGGAGACGAAAAAAAAAAAACAAACUACAAUUGAAAAUAGAUACAAGAAAGAACGGAGGAAGUCGGUGUGUAAGUG